GCGAACCUCGUCAGCCGCGCGGGCGCCGAGGGUUUGCGUCUAAAGUGAGAGCGCGGGGUGAUGGGGAAUCUGGGCGACCUGGAGACCAGCCUGAAGCGCGUGGGGGCUUGUGUCUGUGGAGGAGGGAACGGGAGGUCCCGGGAACCCCCCAGGCGGGAUCUUCAGUGCAGAGCCCGCCGGUGCCUGUUGGGGGGACCCCGGCCCUUCGGGUUCCCGGGGCGCAGAUGGGACUGAGCCCGGUCAGGAGCAGGUGACCGGUGCGGGAACCUUGUGCCCGGCCCCUCCAGCUGCCGGACGGGAUAAAACAGUGCGAGCGGCAGGAGGGGAAAGCGCGUUUAUAAUGAGACCGUGAGAGCCAGAAAGCGCGGGCGAAAACUUCAGUCAAUGAAAAGCUGUAUGGUUUAGUCCAUGUGACCACUUCCUGUCUCAUGUGGACAGGUGGUGCCGCCCCUGCACGGUCCUUCCUUGGCCUCCCAGCUGAACCUCCACAGUUCUCUAUACUCUCGUCAGGCAGCACAAUGAACACAUCUCAGGCCUCAGUGUCCUUCAAGGACGUGACUGUGGAGUUCACCCAGGAGGAGUGGCAGCGCCUGGGCCCUGCUCAGCGGGCCCUCUACAGAGACGUGAUGCUGGAGAACUACAGCCACCUCAUCUCCGUGGGUGAGCAGACCUGACCACCUGACUCCUUCUGGAAUGCAAUUCCUUUUUCCCUCUCUCUUUCUUAAUAGUGAAAUUACUUUUAUUAGGGUAUAAUUAACAUUAAUUAAAAGUCAGCAGUGUUCAUUGUAUAAUUUGAUUAGUUUUGGAAGUGUCUGUAGGUGAUGCCCGCCACCAAAUUAAUGAUAUAAAAUAUUUUUGUCACCCCAAAAAGUUUCCUUGUAGGUCUUUGUAAUCAUUUUUCCCCUCCCAUCCCUCUCCCUGGUUCCUGUCAACCACUGAUAUACUUUCUGUUGCAAUAGUUUUCCCUUCUAGAAUUUUAUAUACAUCAUAGAGUAUUUACUCUUUUUUCUUGCUUCUUUUUCUUAGCUCUUUUAAUUUUAUUAAAUUUACUGUGGUUACAUUGCUUAAUAAAAUGAUACGUGUUUCAAGUGUA